GACUCCAAGAUGAAAGCAUGGAGCUCUUCAAGGAGCACUGAAUUCAAUUUAUUCAUCUGGGGUUCAGCCCUAUUCACUCAGGGCUUGAGUCCUAGCCUGGCAACUUGGCAACAUCCAUCAGGCCUUCUGAAGUUCUCUAGAAUCCUGGGUAAUGUGAACUGAUGCUGAGUGAAAUGAGCAGAAUCAAGAAUUUAAAUCAAUACAACAAUAAUGUGAAAAGAAACAAUGCUAAAAAUAAUGAAAAAAACAAACUGGACAACCAAGUUUCGAGACAGAAGAGAUGGACUCAGGAUGGAUAAAGAAACCUAAAUUUUUUGACACAUCCUACAAUGGGUAUUAAUUUUGUUGGUGUUACAAGUUCUCUCAACCUUUGUGUUUUGGAGGAGAAAUGAGGUUCUUGAGAGGGCAAACUUUCUUUCUACACUGCUGGACCAUAUCAUCUCUCCAGCCACUGUGCCUCUCUCUUUGGGCCUCUGGACCUUUCUAUCUACUCUACAAUUGAAAUGUUCAAAUAUUUUUUUUCUCUUA